AAUGCUAGUCGAGCGCCUUCUAGCCAAAAGGAGGCGCGGCAUACAGCUNAGUAACACGUGGCUAACCUGCCCUUGGGAUAGGAAUACUCCCGGGAAACUGGGGCUAAUUCCCAAUAGGUGAAGAACUCUGGAAUGAGUCUCCGCCAGAAAGGACUCCUGCACUACGCUUGCAGGUUUCGCCCAAGGAUGGGGCCGCGACCGAUCAGGUUGUUGGUGAGGUAAUGGCUCACCAAGCCUUUUACCGGUGCGGGCCGUGGGAGCGGGAGCCCGGAGAUGGGCACUGAGACAAGGGCCCAGGCCCUACGGGGCGCAGCAGUCGCGAAAACUUUGCAAUACACGCAAGUGUGACAGGGCUAUCCCGAGUGCCAUCCGCUGAGGAAGGCUUUUACCCAGUCUAGAACGCUGGGGGAAUAAGGAGAGGGCAAGUCUGGUGUCAGCCGCCGCGGUAAUACCAGCUCUCCGAGUGGUGUGGAUGUUUAUUGGGCCUAAAGCAUCCGUAGCUGGCUAAGUUAGUCCCUUGUUAAAUCCACCGAAUUAAUCGUUGGAUUGCGGGGGAUACUGCUUGGCUAGGGGACGAGAGAGGCAGACGGUAUUUUUGGGGUAGGGGUGAAAUCCUAUAAUCCCAGGAAGACCACCAGUGGCNAAGGCUGUCUGCUAGAACGCGCCCGACGGUGAGGGAUGAAAGCUGGG
rnacentral:rRNA from 1 species